CAAGGGGAAUGGAAGGAAGUGACGGACUCUUAGGGCUUUCAAAGGGGGACAGAAGGAAGUGACGGACUCUUAUAGGCUUUUCAAAGGGGGACAGAAGGAAGUGACGGACUCUUAAGGACUUUCAAAGGGGAAUGGAAGGAAGUGACCCACUCUUGGCCAGGGCCGUAGUUAGGGAGAGGGUCCAGAGGGAAUCCCAAACGUGGCCAUUCCAAGCUCUAGGAGGCUCUCUGUUCCUAGUCAUCUCAGUGAACUCGGAUCUCCUCUUAUUGGCUUAAUUUCCCCCUCUGAAGGGGAAUUGGGGAGGGGGCCUAUCUUAAGGGCUUGGAAGGCAAAGGAGGGGAAGGAAGAAGCUUCUCCUCCAAAAUCCCCCUUAGCCUCCUAAUGCAUUCAUGAUCAGCAUCACAUGUGUCUUGUCUGUCCUAAGUACUGCCUCCCUUGUGGCUAAUCUAGUGAACAGUGACAUCUGCCUGCCCUGAUCCCUCAUUGCCAGUGUGACCACCACCAUAGAGAAUGCUGGAGCCAGUAAUGUCCCCCUAUUUCACAGAGGAGGAAAGUGAGGCCUAUGGUGCAGAAGUGAAAGACUUGGCGCUACUCAGGAGCUCAGCAUCAUGUCUGCUGAGCGACUUCAGGGGAGGGGAGUCUGCUAUCCGUCCCCAUGGGGUCCUCCAAGAGCAAGUGCGUCCCUCCUUUCUCAGAAUUCACCCAUCUCUCUAUGAGCUACUGGAACUCUGCAAGGGACUGCAGCGCCCUCUCGUGGCCAGCCUCCUAGGACGGCUGCAAUCACUGGACGUCCUCACCUGAAGCAACUCAUGUUCUUGAAAUGUGCCAAGGGAGAGUUUUUGUGAGUCGAGGGUGAUGGGACUUAGAAAUCUCAGGAUUCGCUGGUGGGAUCCUUUUGCAAAAAGGAUUGUAAAGGCAAUAAUUCACAAAAUUCAACCCGUCACUUGGAUCCCUGGAACAACCCUAUGAGAUGAGGGGGCAGGAAGUUGUCCCUGGUUUACAGACAGAGAAACUGAGGUCAAGAAGAGAUGCGAGUUGCCCGUGCUCAUACAGCUAAAUAAAUGUCAAAGCGGGGCCUGGCCUUUGAGUCA
rnacentral:lncRNA from 1 species